rnacentral:rRNA from 1 species
GUGGGGAAUAUUGGGCAAUGGACGCAAGUCUGACCCAGCAACGCCGCGUGAAGGAAGAAGGCUUUCGGGUUGUAAACUUCUUUUAAGGGGGAAGAGCAGAAGACGGUACCCCUUGAAUAAGCCACGGCUAACUACGUGCCAGCAGCCGCGGUAAUACGUAGGUGGCAAGCGUUGUCCGGAUUUACUGGGUGUAAAGGGCGUGUAGCCGGGCCGACAAGUCAGAUGUGAAAUCCACGGGCUUAACCCGUGAACUGCAUUUGAAACUGUUGGUCUUGAGUAUCGGAGAGGUAACCGGAAUUCCUAGUGUAGCGGUGAAAUGCGUAGAUAUUAGGAAGAACACCAGUGGCGAAGGCGGGUUACUGGACGACAACUGACGGUGAGGCGCGAAAGCGUGGGGAGCAAACAGGAUUAGAAACCCUAGUAGUCC